rnacentral:piRNA from 1 species
UACAGUUGCUUGAUGCCCAGUGUC